UAUUUGAGAUCUGACCUGCCCAAUGAUUUUUAUUUAAUGGCCGCGGUAUUUUGACCGUGCAAAGGUAGCAUAAUCAUUAGUUUAUUAAUUGUGGACUUGUAUGAAUGGUUGGACGAAAUAUUGACUGUCUCAUAUUUAUUUAUUGAAUUUAAUUUUUUAGUUAAAAAGCUUAAAUUUUAUUGUAAGACGAGAAGACCCUAUAGAUCUUUAUUUUUAUAAAUUAUUUAUUUUUUAGUUUCUUUUUUUAAAAGUUUUAUUAAAAGUUUUGUUGGGGUGACAUGGAGAUAAAAAUAACUCUUUAUUUUAUAUACAAUUAUUUUUGAUUUGUUGACCUUUUAUUAUUGUUUAAAGUUAUAGAUACCUUAGGGAUAACAGCGUAAUUUUUUCUGAGAGUUCUUAUCGACGAUAAAGAUUGCGACCUCGAUGUUGGAUUAAGAAUAUUUUAAGGUGUAGGUGCUUUACUUUUAGGUCUGUUCGACCUUUAAAUUCUUACGUGAUCUGA
rnacentral:rRNA from 1 species